UAGAAUAUAGUAUAAAGGUAGUACGUAGAAUUUUGAAUUCUAAAGUAUAGGUUCAAUUCCUGUUGUCCUAG